rnacentral:rRNA from 1 species
UAACAAGGAUUCCCCUAGUAACGGCGAGUGAAGAGGGAAGAGCUCAAAUUUGAAAUCUGACGGUCUCAGGCCGUCCGAGUUGUAAUCUAGAGAGGUGUUUUCCGUGCCGGACCGUGUACAAGUCCCUUGGAACAGGGCGUCAUAGAGGGUGAGAAUCCCGUCCAUGACACGGACUACCGGUGCUCUGUGAUACACCUUCAAAGAGUCGAGUUGUUUGGGAAUGCAGCUCAAAAUGGGUGGUAAAUUCCAUCUAAAGCUAAAUACAGGCGAGAGACCGAUAGCGAACAAGUACCGUGAGGGAAAGAUGAAAAGAACUUUGGAAAGAGAGUUAAACAGUACGUGAAAUUGUUGAAAGGGAAACGCUUGAAGUCAGUCGCGUCUGCCAGGACUCAGCCUUGCUUCUGCUUGGUGCAUUUCUUGGUGGAUGGGCCAGCAUCGAUUUUGAUUGCCGGAAAAGGGCGGGAGGAAUGUGGCAGCUUUUGCUGUGUUAUAGCCUUCUGUCGUACACGGUGGUUGGGAUCGAGGACUGCAGCACGCCUUUGGUCGGGGUUCGCCCACGCCACGUGCUUAGGAUGCUGGCGUAAUGGCUUUAAACGACCCGUCUUGAAACACGGACCAAGGAGUCUAACAUGCCUGCGAGUGUUUGGGUGCAAAACCCAGGCGCGUAAUGAAAGUGAAAAGUUGGGACUCUUUAGUGAGGCACCGACGCCCGACCCUGAAGUCUUCUGACGGGUUUGAGGCAGAGCAUGUAUGUUGGGACCCGAAAGAUGGUGAACUAUGCCUGAAUAGGGUGAAGCCAGAGGAAACUCUGGUGGAGGCUCGUAGCGAUUCUGACGUGCAAAUCGAUCGUCAAAUUUGGG